rnacentral:rRNA from 1 species
CGGUCCAAGAAGUACACGUUGAUUAAAGAGAAACAGUCGAUGGUGAUACAUGGCCGUUCUUAGUUGGUGGAGCGAUUUGCCUGGUUAGCUGCGAUAAUGAGCGAGGCUAUGACUUAAAUAAGUGCUGGAUUCCAAGCACCUUGUAACAAACGCCUCCUAUCCGCAGGAAACAGCAAUAAUAGGCCUGUGUUACCCUAAGAUGGUCG